AGUGAACGCUGGCGGCAGGCCUAACACAUGCAAGUCGAACGGCAGCACAGUAAGAGCUUGCUCUUACGGGUGGCGAGUGGCGGAUGGGUGAGGAAUACAUCGGAAUCUACUUUUUCGUGGGGGAUAACGUAGGGAAACUUACGCUAAUACCGCAGACGACCUACGGGUGAAAGCAGGGGAUCUUCGGACCUUGCGCGAUUGAAUGAGCCGAUGUCGGAUUAGCUAGUUGGCGGGGUAAAGGCCCACCAAGGCGGCGAUCCGUAGCUGGUCUGAGAGGAUGAACAGCGACACUGGAAGUGAGCCGCGGUACAGAGUCCUACGGGAGGCAGCGGUGGGGAAUAUUGGCAGAUGGGGGCAAGACUGAUCAAGCCGUACCACGUGGAUGAAGAGGGCCUUCGGGUUGUAAAGACCUUUUGUUGGGAAAGACAAGCUGCGGGUUAAUACAAGGCUGUUCUGACGGUACCCAAAGAAUAAGCACCGGCUAACUUCGUG
rnacentral:rRNA from 1 species